GCUUUAUAUUCAAAUAUGAUUUUAGACUGCAAUUCUGAAGGUGUAAAAUGUUACUAAAGCCUA
rnacentral:tRNA from 1 species